rnacentral:lncRNA from 1 species
UUUAUAGUAAAGGGGUGAAAGGGGUUAGUGGUGAGAGAAACUCUAGGGUUUCGAGUUUGGGGCGGCCGCCUCAGAUCUUCUUCAUCUUCAAGUCGUUUGCCGCCUCACUUCUUCUUCAUCUUCUAAGUCGCUUGUCUACGCUGAACGGAGUAAAUCUUGUGAGUUCUUUGUGUGGUUCCAUUUGUUCUUUCCCCUCUCGUAUUAAUUGUUUGUAGUUUGCAAGAUAUUAAUGUCUUCUAGAAAUUUGUCUCUUCUUUGUAUAAGAUUUUUAAGCAUCCUCAUAUUGGUUCAAUUCAAAUGGCAAUUAUUUACCGAUUUUCAUUUAAGGAAUUGUACUUCAUCGCAUAGUAGUUCAACCUUCCUUUAUAUUAUUGAUGUUUUCACAAUUACAUAUAUACUAUUUUAUGGAGAAAUUGGAAUGAGCGUAAUUUUAGAUUCUUUGGAGAAAAUUGCUCAUCUUUUAAGCUGUUGAGUGAUAGGAUUAUUUUCCUUGUAUCUUUUUGGGGUUCUUCUAUGGGGGUCUUUAGAGGUAUCUACUGAUGUGUGAAGAGAUCGAAGGAUUGCACUUUUUUAAAUGUUUUUUUUAGUCCAUUGAGGGUGUAUUUUUCGUUCCCCUUUUAUUGCAUCAUUUCUUCUCUAUUAAUAAAAUUUAUUCUUUUAUCAAAAAAAAAAAAUCACACCUCACAAAUUUGGGUGUUUUUUUAAUAUAUGUUUUUUUACAAUUAUGCAAGGGAAAUAGUGAUUUUAAGUGUUUAAAUUGAUCAAGAAAAUAAUAUUUUGUGUUUUAUCUUCGCAGAAUCUCAGCGAGAUGAUGAUCAUCUCAGAGGUAUCAUCAGUAGUUUCAUUCCAGUUAACACAAGGCAAUUUUGGUAAUGUGUUUGGUAAUGAUAUUAUUUGAUGUAUCAUAAAAUUUAUUUACUCCUAUUUGUUUCAAAAAUACUAAUCGUUACAGACUCUUCUCAAUCCAUUAAUGUUAUACUUUGGUAUUUUUUUGGGUACAAUUGGUAUAGCAUGCAAUUAUUUGAUGAUUUUUUUCAAAAUGUAAUAUGACUUCACUAGUAUUUGUAAUUACUAAAGUUUGAUGCAUAUUUUUUUUCUAGGAAGGAGCUCUGGCCAGGGGUGGAUCUAGAUUUUUUUUUUUCAGUUAUGGCAAUAUAAUUUUAUCUAAAAAAUUAUCGCGAAUACAUUAAAAAUAAAACUAUAUAUAUUAGGUAAAAGGUUUCUACGGUUGACCUAAUAUAAUUUCAAAUAGAACGUAAUUUUGAUUUUCACUGAACAAUUCAAUUGUAAGAAUGCAAAAAGCAUGCAAAAAUAUAAGAACAUGCAAUUUUUUAUAUAAUUCAAAUGACUUUAUAUUAUUUAUUAAUAUUAAAUAAAUCAUGUUGCAUAAAAUAAUUUAUCAAUAUUGCAUAAAUUUUCACUUAUUUUCAAUUACAUAUAAUAUAGAGAUAUAUAUUACAAGGAAAUAAAUAUUAUUGCAAAGUGUAGAUAAAAGAAAAUAAACAUGAUUCCUAGCUUAAUAGAAUUUAUUUUUUAGGUGUUUCUUUUUCUUUUUUUGAAACAGUCCAACAAAUAUAUUCUAGGUGAUUGAUUUCAAUAUUUAAGAUUUCUUAAAUCAUGCAGGGAAUGAGUUUUAAAGUUAAUUCAAUCAAUAUUUAACAUACCAUACAUAUGGAAAAAAAAUAUUUUAACUAUUUAUUUUUGGAAUAAUAUGUAUACUAUAUAAUUUAUUUCCCCCCCUAAAAUCUAGUUAUGGCAAUUGCCACAGCCGGCUCCAAAGCAGAUCCGCCCCUGGCUAUAGCUCAAAUUGUACUUCAGUGGAGGCAUUCUUUGCUAGCCUUAGUGGAGGCACUAUUCUAUGAGUGUGGUCUUAUUUAUGGCCGUAGUUAUAGCCCAAGUCGAAGCACUAUUAUAUAUCUACUAUGGCCUUUCCUUGUAGGGUUUGAGGUUUUGGUUCUGUGUCCCCUUCUACCCAUUGUCAUAAUAUAAAAAGAAAUGUAUAUAUAUGUUGUGGAGGUAAUUUGAUUAUAUUUGCAUAGUAUUCAUUUUUUAAUGUCAUCUUAGCAAUUUGAUACGACGAGAACUUUUAAUAUUAAAAUUAAUGACCAUCUUAUCAUUUGACUUAUUGCUGUUAGACAAUUACUGUACUGUUCUGCUAUCUGAUUGUGUCCUUGUCCCCAUAUUAAAAUAUUGGGUAAAAAUGUAAUUCACCACCUGUGGUUUACACACUUCUGCAAAUCACCACCUAAAAACCACCACUUAAUCACCUGUGGUUUGAAAAAAAGUGCAACAGUUAAUUUUUCCAUCCAGUUUAUGGAGAGUGAACUUUUAGCAAGUGGAUGAGCUGUCCAACAACUAGAUUCCCUAUGCAAAUGGCAAAAAUGUCCUCCUUAACCCAUAUUUAAGAUGCAAGUAGUUCACUUAUUUUUUUUCUUCUUCUCAUAUUCACCAAUUUUCUAUUAAAUUAUGUACAAAAAUACAUCCUAUAAAGUUUUUGGAGUGUCUAAUUGAUUAGUAUGUAUUUGGAUAAAAAAAUUAUAACCAAGAUAUAUAUAUAUAUAUAUAUAUAUAUAUAUAUAUANNNNNNNNNNNNNNNNNNNNNNNNNNNNNNNNNNNNNNNNNNNNNNNNNNNNNNNNNNNNNNNNNNNNNNNNNNNNNNNNNNNNNNNNNNNNNNNNNNNNAUUAAAAAAUAUGAUGUUAAAAAAUUAAUAAAUAAAAAAUCUAUUAAAAGUAAAAAUAUGGUAAAUAUAAGAUGUAAACUAUAAAAAAAAUAACUAAUUUUGUUAUUCAUAAGAUUGAACAAUUACAAAAAUACAUCAAAAUGUUAAUUUAUCUUCACGGACCUCUUGUUAUUCAAUUAUAUUAACAUUUUAAGUAGCUUCAUUUUUUAAUAAAUUUAAUUGAUUUUACUAGCAAAAGGUUAAUAGGGUUUACCAGUGAGAUACAAUGUUUAAGUUGGAAUGCUUACACACACAAUAUGUGCAUUAAGACUAAUAACAAUAAAGCUUAUGCAUCUUCUCACUUCAGUGGAAAUUAGACUAUUUAAACCAUUUCUUCUUCCUUGCUCCAUAAGGUUGGGCUUUGUUCUACAUUGAUGGCUGUACUAUCAGCUGGGAAUGGAGUGGCCUAAAGAAAGACUCCUUUUCUCCCCGAUACCCUUCCUUCGGCAUCCCUGAAAAGGGCAUCUCUUUCAGCACCUGAACCUCUUGGUGGGGGAGCUGCCGGAACAAAAGAAUUUUCUAUUCAAAAAAAAGAAAUAUCGGACAAGAUCGUAGAAAAGGUAGUGGCUGAUCUUUCCCGAACCCAACUCCAUCACCUCUUUGGACAGUGGCCUUUGCUUAUUCCCCUCAUCUUAGGUUUUCGAAUGAAUGGGAAAUUACGUCGUUCUUUGAUUUGCAGAAUAAGUCGAGACACAAGGCAAGGGUAAGGUUCUAUUAGUUUUAAAGUAUAUAGAGACAAAAAUGUUUUGUCCAAACAUUACUGUUUCUUCUCCUCCCAAUAAUUUAGAAAAUCAAUCAACUGUCUUACAAGCCUCAAUCUACUAUAUAUAUAUAUAUAUAAUAUGACUAAUAUUACUAAAAUAUUCUAUAUGUCCACGUGACUUUUUCGUCAUUUAGUUUAAACAAUUCAAUAAUGUGUUUUAUAAGGUACAAUUAGAAAUGUAAAACUCAACAAAAUGAGAUUUUGAUAUAAUUAUACUUUUUUUAAAAAUAUUUUUAAAAAUAUAAUUAUACUUUUUAACAAGUCGUGAUAUAAUUAUACUUUUUUUAAAAAUAUUUUUCCAACUAAAAAUAAAGAAAAGAUAUGAGUAGAAAAAAAUUGAUGUAAAAUAAAUAAUGUGAUAUCCGGAAUAUUCUUAAGGAUUGUAAUUACGAUCUUAAAAGAUUUAAUAAAGGUUGAUUUAGUGACCUAAUCCAUGUGUUAUGCGAGGGAAUCAAGCGGCGUUAAUUCGUGGAAGAAAAAUAUUUUUUUCAAAAAAGCGAAGAAAACACUUUUCGCAUUUACGACAUUUCGUAUUACGCCAUAGUAUUUAUACGGGGUAUAAAUACACAAUUUCUAUUUAAAAGUACGAAAAGUCAAAGUCAACAUUUUGACUAAUCGGAUGAGUUACGAAAGCUAACAACAAAUCGAACUAGAAGCAAACUAAGUUGGAUUUGGACCAAGGGGAAGGGGGCCCAGAUUUGGCAAGGUUGGGAGGGCCUUUUGGCCAUAUAGGAAGAUUGCAAUACUUGCCUAGCUUGUAAGUAUUGUAUCUUGUUUAGCUUGAGUGUUGUUAAGCUUUGCUUGGUGAGUUGUGGCUCUUUGCUAGCUAUGGGAUUGCAUGGCCUUGUUGGACAACUUUGUAUGGGUUAGCUAGUUAGGUUAAGCUUGGUAGAUGAUUGGUGAGAUGUGGCCUUGUGUGAGCCUAAGGUUGAUUAGGGAGAUGUGGCCUUAUGUGAGCCUAAGGUUGCUUGGUGAGAUGUUUUCUAUAAAUAUAACCCUCAAUUCUUCCUUAAUCUUGUUCAAUAAAAUAAGAAGCUUGAGAGAGAAUACCAUAGUAAGAACAAUUAUAAUUGAGAGAGGGAAAUCAAGAGGCUUGGUUAUUCAAGAAUUCAUAAAGCUAACACUUCAAGAGCUAAACCUAGAAUUCAUUUAUUUCGUAUGUUAGUUCGUUCAUAAUUUUUUAUGAUAGAACUUAUGAACGUAUGCAUGUUAGGGUUAUGAUUAUAUGUGUUAGAGUUAGUAAGUCAUAAAGCAUAAUAAACUAAGUAAUGCUUUAGACAACUAAUUGAAUUAAGUUGUAGCAAGUUAAACAUGAAGCUAUAAAAACUUGUUUUUAGUAGUUUUUACAAGAGGUGUGCAGCCUCAUAUGCUUAGAUUUAGUCAUGAAAUUAAUAGCCAAGUCGUAGAGAGAAGUUAUGAACGCGUAGGAAAAAGAAUCACCCAAAAAUACCUAGUAGUUUGAAAGUUAUGCAUGUUUGAAAUAGGUAGGUUGAAACUACCAAAACUGGAAAAAAUGAAAUUUCGAAACUGCUAAGGAAGCGCUGCGGCACUGGGUAGACAGUGGGCGCAGGCGAGCGCUGGCUGCACGUUGGGCUGGCUGUGAAGCGCCGAGUGGCGUUGUGCAUGUCGGGGCGUGCUGCGUAGUACUUGGGCGAUUCCUUAGGGUGUCUAGGCACUAUAUUUUUGUUCGAGUUUUCCAAAGCCUAUUUUGUUAAGUUUAGGUAAUCGGACAUUGUAAAUGAUAAGUAUUGAAAUAAAAUUCAUACUUAAAGCUAAUUAAAGUGAACUAAGAAUGUAGAGUUAUGUUGUGACUGAUUAUAUGUCGACCUCAUCAAAUUAUGUAGGCCGAGCAAAUGACGCAAAAUUAGUGUAAACGUAAGAGACGGAAUCAGGCAGUCUUCUACUCUUUUGCACUUUGUGCAACAAUGUGUUUUAAUCAUUUGAUCUGUGAAGUUCAUUGUAUUAGGUGAAAUGAUUUAUGGAAAGGAGUUAUUUGUCAUUGAUUCGACUUAACUCAAUUUGUGAGCUAUUCUAGUCGGAAUGUUUAUUGUUGAGAUAUUGAAUUGUUAUAAUUCUUUAUUUGUGAUAAGUUGAUUGUGCCAAACCAAAUUGUUUUGGGGCAGAAUCUGAAUGUUAGUAACUGAGUUGAACAACCCUUGUAUUAAGGGGAUGUAUGACAUGCCGGCUAACCGGAUUCUAUACUGUGAAUACAAAUUUAGCACUAUUACAAAUUUAGCACGAUUAGUGUUUAAUUAUCGGGCAGUGUUCUAAAAGUCGCUAGUCGGUCCCAUGUCGGUUGGCUACCGACUAGCGACUAGGGGAUUAAUCAGCUAGUCGGAUUUUCAAUUUUUAAAAAAAUAUAUAUUCUCCUUCCUCAUUCAUAAGUUUUGAGCAAGUAGAAUAACAUAAGUAACACAAAUCAUCAAAUAAAAACAUGAAAACUAAGUAAAACCAAAUAGUUUGAUGCUCUAACGGUCAGAUUUCUAAUAAUUUAAUUUAUAACUGAAGUCAGAUUUUAAUAAUUUAAUUUAUAACUGAAGUUGAAAAAAUUUAAAAUUUAAAAUGAAAUAUAAUAAUUAACUAAAUUAAUUUAUCCAACCUUUUCUUUAAUGCCCACUAAGGAACUAAUUAAGCCUUGUAUCAGUCUUCAGUUGACAAACUGUCGACAAACUAGAGAUGAAGAAGAGCAGCUGACGAAAAAAAAUAGAGAAACUGAGAGAGAGAGAGAGACGAGCCGGAGAAGAAGGCCGAUGAUGAUGAAGAUGAAGAGCAGCAGUCGAGCACUCGUCGUCGUCGGUAGUCUUCGUCUUCGUCAGCGGCAGUCGUCGUCUGCUACACAGUCGACGUCGGUCGGCAGUCGUCGUCGGCAGUCAGUAGCAGUCGUCGUCGAAGCAGUCCAGUCGGUAGCAGUCGUCGUCGGCAACAACAGUCGAAGAAGGAGAAGCAACCGCAGUAGCAGUCGGCGCUAGAAGAAGAAGAAGCAGCAGUCGUCGCCGACUUGAUAUGUUCCAUUUGUUCCGAUUUGCUCCGACUUUACCGACUAGUCGUCGACUUGAGUCCGACUAAGUCGGCCAGCGACUAAAUCAAAGGACUAGGACUUGAUUGACUCGGCGAGCCUCCGACUUCGACCUAGUCCGACUUUUAGAACACUGGUAUCGGGAAACCGAUACACACUGAUGUCACUUUUGUAGCAGUAUUGAUGAACCGUGGACGAGAUUUAUUAUUAGUUCUUGGUUUAACCACUCAGUUUACUAUUAUGAACCACUGUUAUAUCUUUUGUUGUUAAACUUCUAUUCUUUGUACUAGAAUAGAUAUGAAUUCUUUAGACUUGCUGAGCUAUCUUAUGCUCAUUCUUGCAAAUAUUCUUAAUUUGCAGUUAAGGAAGGAAUACCAGAACAAUCUGGCAUUAAAAACGAGAAAGUGAAAGAAUAGUAGUUACGUCAAGAUAGAUAUAAUUAUUGUUGUCUUUUGAUGUAAUAGAACGUAAGUUGUAAUGACGUUGAAAUAUGUAUAAAAGAGAAUUAUUAAGGAAAACAUAGUGUUAUGUCCUUUUUGGAAAUGUAUUAUAUUAGGUACUUUACAUUUGAAGUUGAUGGAUGUAUCGAUUGAAAUAAUUGGAGUUAGUUCUUAUUGAAUGUUAAGGUUGUAUGAGCGUUCUUGAAUUCAUACUUAUGGUAGGUUUAUGACUCAUAGUAGUGUGGUAAGUUUUUGAACCCACAGUCAUAUGAUAAGUUUCUGAUUUGUUUUUGAACUCAUAUUACUAUGGGAGUUCUUAAACUCAUAUUAUUGUGGUAAGUUCCUGAACUCAUAACGUAUGGUAAGUUCUAUGAACGAUGAUUAUAGUAUAUUAUCAGACAAUUAACAUUAUUGACAAUGUUUAGAAAAUUCUAACGAGUAAAGAGGUUAUCUAAUUGAGUGUCGUUUUUAACGAAAGGCCCCAUCUUUUCUAAAAAUGACUUGGUUGUCAUUAUUGUGAGUUUAUAAUAUCUAUACUCAGAAGGAUUUAGUGUUGGAAGUAAGGUGCUAUCCAUAGAAUGGAUGUGAGUCACAUGUUGGGAUAAGGUAAAGACCAAGUUGCGAUCCAGAGUUGAAGAUAGAGAAAUUGAUGUUAGUGUGUAAUGGACUAAGUUAAACCAGAAAGAUAAUGGUUAGUCAACACCAUCUCCACCGUAAAGAGCAGACGGAUUUGGGGGCGUGAGAAAUACAUACAUAUAUAUAUAUAUUGUCUUUAAUUAAGAUGGGGAUCAUAUUUUAGUAAAAAAAUAACUAUAGUAAUGAAUCAUUAAAGAUUAAAUAUUAUUUAUGUUGAUUUGUGUUACAAAUGAAUCAAGAUUGACUAAGAUGAUUGAAGAUUUUCUUAGUUUGAUUUUAGAAGCUAGUUGGUGAAAAUUGAGAAAAAAAAACAAGAUAAAUAACAAAUGAGGUGGUUAUAUGCAAAGUAAGAGUUAAGAAGGGCAUUUUAGUACUUGUUCUUUUAAUGGUGUUAACACUAAAGUGAGACUUUGCAAAUUUUUUAAGCCACAGGUGGCUAAGUGGUGGUUUUUUAACCACAGGUGAUGAUUUACACAAAAUGUGUAAAUCACAGGUGGGCAAAUUACAUUUUACCCUAAAAUAUUUGUUUCACAGAGUUGUACUCAUAUAGUCCUUUUUCUAUUUUUACAAUUCGCAUAAGAGUCCUUUAAGAUCAUUUAACCUUAUUUUACCUGAGAUUUCACUUGGACCAUAUUGUUUCAGAUACAUUUCCAUUGUCUAUCUUUACUACUCGCGUGCUCUCUCCAAGCCCAUGUCCAGGUAGUUCUGAGCCAAAAAAGAUUAAAUGAUUGGUUCAGAUGAUUGAGGAUUUUGGUGGAAGUUUAUGAAAAAGAAUCUAUCGAGAUUCAGAAGAAGAUUGAUCGAGUUAGGAGCUUGAGGAAAUGACUAGAUAAUAUUUCAUGUUACUAUAUGUCACUAAGUCAGUCUAGGAGCUGAAACCAUCUACCAAAUAAAGGAGCUGCAUUAUCUGGGAUAGUUCUUCUUUUUCAACCUUGUUACAUAAUGUUAUGGAUAAUUUGUGGUGAAAAUAUUGAAUUAAAUGGAUGUAAGGACAGUUGUAUGCAAACUGCAGUAGGUCUAGGUGAUAAGAUCCCAUCUGGGAUUGUGAUCUAAUUUCUUUCUCUUUUCUUUUUUUUGGUGUGGCCUGGGGAAAGCGGGGGAGCAGGGGGUGGUGAGGAAAGCAUUGGGCUGGAGUGAGGUAAUUUGGCAUUUUACAACAGGGAGUCUCGAAAACCUUUUUCAGAUAAAUAUGUAAUUUCGUACGUUACUUUCUUAUUUAGAGUUCUUUCAGAAAGAGUUUCUUUCUUUCCUUUCUUUUAAAAUCUAUUAAAAGAAUAGAAAUGGCAUAAUUUUGGUAGGUCUAUUUUUUGUGUUUAGACAAGGUGUACUAGCACUCAACUUGUAAAAUCUAUUUGAAAUUAUCAUAUUUUUCAUAAUCUGAAGCUACUCAUAUACUAAAAAAAUGAAGAGCAGUAAACAAGUUCAGAAAAACCUCAAAUAAUGAUGUCUUUUAACCUAAAAAAUCAAUUACCUGGAUCAUGGAACAACUGAAAUAUUUCUGCAUGUCAGUGAUGCGAACAUCAUUUUGAUGGAGAUGUCUAUAAAGUUGUAUUAUAUCAUGUUCACCAUGCAAGCCCGAUGAUAUGCAGUAUUGACAUGCUGAUGUGUCACAAGUGAUGCAAUAAUGGUUGCAUCGGUUCUUGCUGCGCUCAUGAGCUAUACAACGAUCGAAGAAAGUCCGUUGUAGGAAAUUUUCGAGCCAUUCUGGUUUUUCAAUCUGAGGUCGUACUAUUUGUGCAACCUACAAGAAAUAAUACAUUCCCUUUAUUAACAUUUAUUAUUAUUGAGGUACUGUAAAUCUCAAAGACUUAGGUGAAGAUAUUUAAUUUUUUUGCAUCCAUGAACUUCUUUCUCUUAAUCAUCAUAUGGUUUUCUCAGUUUGAGAAACUAUGGAAUUGUAAAUCAAGACUAGGAAAUGAGUGUGAGUAUUUGCAAGGAAAAGCUAGUGUCUAAACAAGAGUAAGUUUAAUGAUGUAUAACGAACCUGUUCUAUGGAAGGAAAUUUGCAUUAAGACUUAAGCAUAGGUGUGAAAGAAUCAUAUAUUCAGUUACUUACCUAAUUAAUAUUUAUAUUUAAAAGGAUUGACCUUGUGAGCAAGAUGAAGUUGACCUGAGCAGUCCGUAUGCUCAACUGAAGUAAUUGAUUUUCCAAUAAUCUAUUGCAAGUCCUAGAGAACAUUUAAGAAUUCUUCAUCUUCCCUCGAUUUAAUUUCACUUAUAUUUGCAAAAGGUAAUGUAUCAGUCCUAAUUCAACCUUCUUUCUCUCAGGUGAGGUAUGUGAAAUGUUACAAGUUUACAAUGACAACUUGGUUAAUGAAGAAGAGUUGUUCCUCAUGGACCGCUGAACAAGUUUACAUAGAUGAUGGAGCUUCCUCAGCCUGUACAGAGGGACAAACACAUUUCAAAUAUUAUCCUCAAUGGAAGGUACGCAUACACCUUUCUCUGGAACAUUCCUUUUGUUCAUAACCAGAGAAUGAUCUGCGAUUGUGACAAACUGAUGCACUUUGAAGUUGGAUAUUAAUCCGUUCUAGGGUAUUAGUUUUAGCUUUGGUCAUACACGCCUUAUUUUUAUUUUGUCUAAUGAAUUGUUCAGAAAAAGAAAUUAUAAUAACAUGUUUUGAGCGUUUGAGUAUGUAAAAAUUGUUAAAGGCGUGAGUGGUUGCAUUAUGGAUGUGGAUUUGAAGAUUACUGAUCCGAUUAUAUAUAUGUGUGUGUGCGUAAGUUGCUGGAGUAUGAUAUUUGCUAAAUGAUUUUAAAAAGCUGAUGUAAAGUUAUAAACAUAAAAUAACUUCAAAGAUAAGAAGAGACUUGCUAUUUGACUAACAAGGUAGAUCAAUAAUACAUCUGAAAUAGAUUAAUGGUUUCAGAUGUAUGUAAUCAAAUCUCUUCUGGCCAUUUGAAGAGAUUAUAGAUGAAAGCCAGGUGUUGGAAUGAAUAGAAACAGUGAUUUAGAUUAUCUGGAAUUUGGAUUAAGAAACUAAUGUAAUGUGCAAUAAUAGUAUCAACUCAGGAUCAUGAGAUAGUGGGAAAGGGGAGACUGCUGUUCUAUAACAAAACUUGUGCUUUAAUGAAGAAGUCAAAAUUGUAAUAAGAAUAAUAAUAAGAAAAAACUGGUUUAUAUACAUGGCAAAAAGUUGACAUGGAACAUAAAAAUAAAAUUAAAGAGUACAAGGAAGCUAGACACAAUGAAGGUGUAGAAAUAUGUAAAAGCGCAAAGAAAGACUUCAAAAAAGAACAAAGGGGAAAGAAUUGUAUAUAAACCUUCUACACUUGUUGAAAUAUCUGUUAUAGGAAAGGCUAUGGGAUUGAAUCUGCUAAUUCUACAGCAGUUAGUGAGUAGGGGAGUGUAUUGGAGGACCUCUGGGCUCUUUCAAUCGGUGUAAAUGAAGGAAAUUUUGGGCACUAUGUGGAUUGUAAACAAUGCUGUUUUUCUAAUGCAAUUUAAGCGCCCAAUAUUAUUGCUGGGUAGAUAUGUGUGUUUUCUUUAGUGUAUGUGUNNN